ACAUGGCUGCAAGGUGGACAUAACAAGAUAGUCAUAACAACAGGUAGUCAUAGCGAUGUUGUCAUACAACCUUAUGAAACAAAGGUAGGGUUGCAAGAUGGUUAUAAACAAUUUUUUGAAACAAAGACAUGAUUGCCAUUCCUGGAAGGGCAGCUCUGCCUGGGAAGAAGAGCCAUGGAGACCAGUGACCUCUAAGUACAGCCCCAAUUCUGGAGUCAAGAUACCAUGUCUUUACCACCUCUGGAGAGCUGUAGUUCCAGCCAAGUCAUCGCAGUUCUCUACAGUCUUCCAUCUUCAGCUUCCUCUGGGAAUUAAGAAGAUGAGCCCAAGCUGGUUGUGGCGUCACACGCUCCUCGUCCCAACACUCAGGAGGAAGAGGCAUCUCUGUGUUCCAGGUGCUGGGCUGAACAGACGCGCACCAACACUGUGGAUGGCAUCGCUCUUGGAGAAGAAUUAACACUGGAUCACAAAUGAAGAGCCUCCUGGGUUUAGGCUGGUGACCACUCUUGGAGGACAAUAGUUUACAUUAUUGUUGUGAUACAGAAGGGCUCAGCAGGAAUGCAGAGGGCUGAGAAAGUGCUCAGUGGGAAUUCUGGGCCAGCUCGCAGCAGCAGCGGCGGCGGCGGCGGCGGCGGCGGCGGCGGCGGCGGCAGCGGCAGCAGCAGCAGCAGUGGCAGCUCCACAGCAGCGGUGGCUGUUCCACUGCUUCGUGUGGAAGCAGGAGGGAUUUCUGCCCUUGGCUCCCCCAGUAGCUCUGGCUCUUGCUUGAGGUUACUAGGCAUGAGGUCUUUCUUAUUUCAAUAUUCCCUGUGGCGAGGAGAAAAAGGACCUCUUUUAUCCUGCCAGUCUAUCCCCCUAGCAUCUAGACCAAAGUCCUGUUCU